AACGAACGCUGGCGGCAUGCCUAACACAUGCAAGUCGAACGAGACCUUCGGGUCUAGUGGCGCACGGGUGCGUAACGCGUGGGAACCUGCCCUUAGGUUCGGAAUAACUCCCCGAAAGGGGUGCUAAUACCGGAUAAUGUCUUCGGACCAAAGAUUUAUCGCCUUUGGAUGGGCCCGCGUUGGAUUAGCUAGUUGGUAGGGUAAAAGCCUACCAAGGCGACGAUCCAUAGCUGGUCUGAGAGGAUGAUCAGCCACACUGGGACUGAGACACGGCCCAGACUCCUACGGGAGGCGGCAGUGGGGAAUAUUGGACAGUGGGCGAAAGCCUGAUCCAGCAAGGCCGCGUGAGUGAUGAAGGCCUUAGGGUUGUAAAGCUCUUUUACCCGGGAUGAUAAUGACAGUACCGGGAGAAUAAGCACCGGCUAACUCCGUG
rnacentral:rRNA from 1 species